rnacentral:rRNA from 1 species
ACUGGGCGUAAAGGGCACGCAGGCGGUGACUUAAGUGAGGUGUGAAAGCCCCGGGCUUAACCUGGGAAUUGCAUUUCAUACUGGGUCGCUAGAGUACUUUAGGGAGGGGUAGAAUUCCACGUGUAGCGGUGAAAUGCGUAGAGAUGUGGAGGAAUACCGAAGGCGAAGGCAGCCCCUUGGGAAUGUACUGACGCUCAUGUGCGAAAGCGUGGGGAGCAAACAGGAUUAGAUACCCUGGUAGUCCACGCUGUAAACGAUGUCGAUUUGGGGGUUGAGCUUUAAGUUUGGCGCCCGUAGCUAACGUGAUAAAUCGACCGUCUGGGGAGUACGGCCGCAAGGUUAAAACUCAAAUGAAUUGACGGGGGCCCGCACAAGCGGUGGAGCAUGUGGUUUAAUUCGAUGCAACGCGAAGAACCUUACCUACUCUUGACAUCCAGAGAACUUUCCAGAGAUGGAUUGGUGCCUUCGGGAACUCUGAGACAGGUGCUGCAUGGCUGUCGUCAGCUCGUGUCGUGAGAAG